rnacentral:tRNA from 1 species
UGUAGUGUGGCACAGUGGUUUGAGUGCUGGACUAUGAUUCUGGAGACCAGUGUUCAGUUCCCAGCUCAGCCA